CACGUAGUCACCGACUCUGUAAUAGGCAAACUGCAGGUAAUCGUAGUGGAGGGGAAGGAAGUUUUCGAUGGGUGAGAUGCGGCCCGAGCGCGUGGCGAGCUCUCGGAUGCAGUCAUGUUUGCAGGCCAGGACUUGCAUGUAGUGAUCUGCAAUAGCUUCGUAGAGGCCAGCCUUAUAUUCCAGGUAUUCGUGUUCCUCAAACCUCUGUGGUCCUUCGCACAUGAUCUG
rnacentral:lncRNA from 1 species